rfam:Oryza glumipatula chromosome 2, whole genome shotgun sequence.
AAAGACUCAAUUCGUGGAUUUUCGCGUCCAACGUUUGACCAUCCAUCUUAUAUGAAAUUUUUUAUGAUUAGUAUUUUUAUUACUGUUAGAUGAUAAAACAUGAAUAAUACUUUAUACAUGACUUAUCUUUUUAAUUUUUUUAUAAUUUUUUCAAAUAAAACGAACAGUCAAACGUUAGACACGGAAACCCAGGAAUUGAGUUUUU